UACGUAGGGGGGCGAGCGUUGUCCGGAGUUACUGGGCGUAAAGGGCAUGCAGGCGGUCCGACACGUUUUGUGUGACAGCGGGUGGCUUAACUACCCCGAGGAUACGAAAGACGGUUGGACUUGAGGACUCGAGAGGGACACGGAAUUCCGGGUGGAGUGGUGAAAUGCGUAGAGAUCCGGAGGAACACCGAAGGCGAAGGCAGUGUCCUGGCGAGUGACUGACGCUGAGGUGCGAAAGCCAGGGGAGCGAACGGG
rnacentral:rRNA from 1 species